UUAUUAUAGAAGAGAGGAUACACCUGUUCCCAUUCCGAACACAGAAGUUAAGCUCUCUAUCGCUGAUGGUACUUGGGGCGAAGGCCCCUGGGAGAGUAGGACGUA
rnacentral:rRNA from 1 species